rnacentral:rRNA from 1 species
GAUGAACGCUAGCUACAGGCUUAACACAUGCAAGUCGCGGGGCAGCAUGGGGGUUGCUUGCAAUCCCCGAUGGCGACCGGCGCACGGGUGAGUAACGCGUAUCCAACCUGCCCUUCACCACGGGAUAACCCGGCGAAAGUCGGACUAAUACCGUAUGUUGUCCAUUGACGGCAUCCGAUUUGGACGAAAGGCUUGGCGGUGAGGGAUGGGGAUGCGUCCGAUUAGCCAGACGGCGGGGUAACGGCCCACCGUGGCUACGAUCGGUAGGGGUUCUGAGAGGAAGGUCCCCCACACUGGAACUGAGACACGGUCCAGACUCCUACGGGAGGCAGCAGUGAGGAAUAUUGGUCAAUGGGCGUAAGCCUGAACCAGCCAAGUAGCGUGCAGGAUGACGGCCCUAUGGGUUGUAAACUGCUUUUAAGCGGGGAUAAAGUGGCCCACGUGUGGGCUUUUGCAGGUACCGCAUGAAUAAGGACCGGCUAAUUCCGUG